rnacentral:rRNA from 1 species
GUAGGGAAUAUUGCACAAUGGAGGAAACUCUGAUGCAGCGACGCCGCGUGAGUGAUGAAGGCCUUCGGGUCGUAAAGCUCUGUCGCAGGGGAAUAACACAAUGAAGGUACCCUGUAAGAAAGGAUCGGCUAACUUCGUGCCAGCAGCCGCGGUAAGACGAGGGAUCCUAGCGUUGUUCGGAAUCAUUGGGCGUAAAGCGGAUGUAGGUGGCUAUGUAAGUCAGAUGUGAAAGCCUGGGGCUCAACCCCAGAAGUGCAUUUGAUACUGCGUAGCUUGAGUGUCGGAGAGGUUACUAGAAUUGUUGGUGUAGUGGUGAAAUACGUAGAUAUCAACAGGAAUACCGGAGGCGAAGGCGGGUAACUGGCCGAACACUGACACUGAGAUCCGAAAGCGUGGGGAUCAAACAGGAUUAGAUACCCCUGUAGUCC